rnacentral:rRNA from 1 species
GCUUAACACAUGCAAGUCGAGCGGAAAGGCCCUUCGGGGUACUCGAGCGGCGAACGGGUGAGUAACACGUGAGCAACCUGCCCCUGGCUCUGGGAUAGCCUCCGGAAACGGGGAUUAAUACCGGACAUUCUCCUUCUUCCGCAUGGUUGAGGGUGGAAAGUUUUUUCGGCCGGGGGGGGGCUCGCGGCCUAUCAGCUUGUUGGCGGGGUAACGGCCCACCAAGGCGACGACGGGUAGCCGGCCUGAGAGGGCGACCGGCCACACUGGGACUGAGACACGGCCCAGACUCCUACGGGAGGCAGCAGUGGGGAAUCUUGCCCAAUGGGCGAAAGCCUGACGCAGCAACGCCGCGUGCGGGAUGAAGGCCUUCGGGUUGUAAACCGCUUUCAAGCAGGGACAAUAAUGACGGUACCUGCAAAAAAAGCUCCGGCCAACUACGUGCCAGCAGCCGCGGUAAU